AUCAUCUUCUUUAACCAGGUCUGCAUUCCUCAAACAAAAAGCCCCGGCUGGAUUGGCCGGGGCUUUUUUUGUUUGCAC
rnacentral:sRNA from 1 species